UACGUAGGGUGCAAGCGUUGUCCGGAAUUAUUGGGCGUAAAGCGCUCGUAGGCGGUUUGUCGCGUCCGCUGUGAAAACCUGGGGCUCAACCCCGGGCCUGCAGCCGAUACGGGCAAACUAGAAUUCGGUAGGGGAGACUGGAAUUCCUGGUGUAGCGGUGAAAUGCGCAGAUAUCAGGAGGAACACCGGUGGCGAGGGCGGGUCUCUGGGCCGAUAUUGACGCUGAGGAGCGAAAGCGUGGGGAGCAAACAGG
rnacentral:rRNA from 1 species